UUAGCCCACGUGUCAGCGCACAGGGUUGAUAGAUUUGUGGAAGCUCUGCAAUCCCUAGUGUGACUCGCACUUUUCCUUCACCAGCAGCUAACUCGGAGCGCCCCGACUCAGCCCUAAUCCUACGAGUCUCUGACAGUUGGUUUCCCGCCCCGGCGACUCCGACCUGGUAAAUCGCUAUGGAACAAGUUUCUCUUAACACCGAGCCUGUAUUUGACAAAGGGGAUGACUAUGAAUUGAAGGGAGAUUUUACCGAGCAUGAUAAUGGAACUGGGGAAACACACAGAAAAAGGACCCCUGAGAACCUACGGUGGGUUUGGAGUUCGAUUCAUUUGAUGAAGCCUAUGAUUUUUACAAUAUCUAUGGGAAAGAGCCGGGAUUUGGCAUCAGAGUAAGCAAUUCAUGGUUCAGAUCAAAGAGAAAAGAGCGGUAUCGAGCAAAGUUAGGUUGCAGCAGUGCAGGUUUCAAGAAAAAGAGCGAAGCCAAUAAUCCAAGACCCGAAACAAGAACUUGUUGUCCUGCAAUGGUAGUUAUCAGGCUGGUGUACUCCAAACGGUGGAGAAUAGUCGAAUUAGAGCUUGAACACAAUCAUCAGGUGAGUCCCCAAAUCAAAAGGUUUUACAAGUCACAUAAGAAAAUUAUCCUUGCUGCCAAAGUGCACAACCGCCACCGGAGCCUGUUACAGAAGUUCAUACUAUCAAGCUGUAUCAAACACCUGUUAUGGACGUUGGGUGCAGUGGAUACUCAAAGUUUAGCGAAACUGAAGGUUUGAAUUCAGCUGAUCUCUCUAAUCACUUGGAACUUAAAGAAGGAGACGCUCAUGCAGUUUACAAUUACUUUUGUCACAUGAAAUUGACGAACCCUGAUUUCUAUUAUCUAAUGGAUCUUGAUGACGACAGAUGCCUGAGGAAUGUGUUUUGGGCUGAUGCUAGGUCCAGGGCUGCAUAUGGCUACUUUUGCGAUGCAGUUGCAAUCGAUACAACAUGCUUGGCAAACAAAUUUGAAAUCCCCCUGAUUUCAUUUGUUGGCGUAAAUCAUCAUGGAAAAUCAGUUUUGUUGGGCUGCGGCUUCCAUGGGCAAGAGUCAGCGGAAAUUUUUGUUUGGAUGCUCAGGGCGUGGCUCAAAUGCAUGCUCGGGGGCCCUCCACAUGUCUUCAUUACCGAUCAAUGCAAGCCCCUGCAAAAUGCAGUGUCUGAGGUUAUCCCGAAUGCUCGCCAUUGCUUUUGUUUGUGGGAUAUCAAGCAGAGAGUUCCAGAGAAAUUGGGAGGGCUGAGGGGAUACAACGAAAUCAAGAGACAAUUACACAACUCAGUCUAUAAUUCCUUGAAGAUGGCUUCAGACAUUGUAUGAAGAUCGGCAGAUGUGGGUUCCAGUGUACGUAAAAGACACAUUUUUCGCAGGAAUGAUCCCUAUCCGAGAAAACGAGAGCUUGACUCCAUUUUUUGAUGGUUAUGUACAUACGCAUAUGUCGUUUAAGGAAUUUGUUGAUAAGUACGAUCUAGCGCUACAUAGGAAGCGCAUCAAAGAGGUGGCGGCAGAUGUGGAGUCGAGAAGUUCAAUCGUUGAACUAAAAACGAGAUGUAAUUUCGAAGAACAGCUACGGAAGGUAUAUACGAGGUUGAGGGCAUGCACUCCUGUUUCAACACAAGGCAGGUGAAUGUGAACGGGCCUAUGCUAACCUACAUAGUCAAGGAACGGGUUGAAGUUGAAGGAAACGAGAAGGAAGUCAGAUGCAAUGAGGUUUUGUACGAAACAACACAGGUCGAUAUCCGAUGCAUCUGCAGUUUGUUCAACUACAAACGUUAUCUAUGCAGGCAUACGUUGAACGUUCUUAAUUAUAACGGCGUGGAAGAAGUCCCAUCGCGCUACAUUCUGCCGCGUUGGAGUAAAGAUUUCAAGUCCAGGUAUCUUCUCCAUCACGGCUCCAGUAAUAUCAAUAUGUAUAACCCAGUGUACUGGUAUAAUCAUCUCUAUAAACUUGCCCUUCCCGUUGCGGAAGAAGGGGCACAAUCGGAAGAACAUUAUAAGACUACCUUACAAGCAUUGGUGGAGUUAUUAAACAAGCUUCAUCUUGUAGAGGAUAUCCAAGUGUGACAUACAACGGUAUGUAGAAAUAUCCUCUUGAAAGAUGACUCUGCUGUUUCUUUUCAAUUGCAUUCAUAUGCUCACUCACGAACAAAGCUCUUCGGUCUAUUAAUCGAAUUCAUAAUGCACGAAAGAACUAGAUAAAUAAGACCAGCCAUAAAUAUAAUAAGCUCAUCAAGCUAUAGUUUUCAAGAAACAUACAACCUUGCGGCCAAAAGAUAAAAAAGAAAAUACAAGCCCAACCAGUUCAAAACUCCCACGGACUACACACACAAAUGAGCGAUUUGAAAUCACAUAAACACAAGAAUCUCACAACUUACGUCAGUGGAA